rnacentral:rRNA from 1 species
GGACCCGCACAAGCAGCGGAGCAUGUGGUUUAAUUCGAAGCAACGCGAAGAACCUUACCAGGACUUGACAUCCUGCUGACAGGACCUUAACCGGUCCCUCCUUCGGGCAGCAGAGACAGGUGGUGCAUGGUUGUCGUCAGCUCGUGUCGUGAGAUGUUGGGUUAAGUCCCGCAACGAGCGCAACCCUUGUUGUCAGUUACUAACAUUAAGUUGAGGACUCUGACGAGACUGCCGAGGUCAACUCGGAGGAAGGUGGGGAUGACGUCAAAUCAUCAUGCCCCUUAUGUUCUGGGCUACACACGUGCUACAAUGGUCGGUACAGAGAGACGCAAUACCGUGAGGUGGAGCAAAACACUAAAACCGAUCCCAGUUCGGAUUGCAGGCUGAAACCCGCCUGCAUGAAGUUGGAGUUGCUAGUAAUCGCAGAUCAGAAUGCUGCGGUGAAUGCGUUCCCGGGUCUU